rnacentral:lncRNA from 1 species
UGCUAGAGAUUAAACAUUCAAGUUGAAAAAAGAAGUCGGCCAACAUCUGAGCAAAUAUAAGGAUUGAUCUUCUUUUUGGUGAGUUUGAUCUUCUUCAAAAACUUUGUUCUUAUCAACUUAAUUGUGAAGAGGUGUGCAAAAUUUGAGUUAAAAUCAACGGUUCAUUCAUUGGUUAUUAAAGUUUAAAUCUACUAUAAGAAUUACUUGAGAUUAUUUAGGAUUUGGUUAGGAUAUGUUUAGGAUUUGAUUGGAAUUCGAUUAAGAUUUAUUUAAGAUUUGGUUAGGAUUUGACUAAAAUUUGGUUAGAUUUUCUUUAGGAUUUGAUUAGAGUUUGAUUAAGAUUUAUUUAGAGUUUGACUAGGAUUUGGUUAAGAUUUGUUUAGGAUUUGAUUAAGGUUUGAUUAGGAUUUGGUUAGGAUUUGUUUAGGAUUUGACUAGGAUUUGAUUAAAAUUUGUUUAAGAUUUGACUAGGAUUUGGUUAAAAAAAUUUUAAGAUUUAUUUAGGAUUUGAUUAAGAUUUGGUUAAGAUUUGGUAGGAUUUGAUCAAGAUUUGGUUAAGAUUUGUUUAGAAUUUGACUAGGAUUUAUUUAGGAUUUGGUAAGGAUUUAUUUAGGAUUUGUUUAGAAUUUGAUUAGGAUUUAUUUAGGAUUUGACUAGGAUUUAUUUAAGAUUUGAUUAGAGUUUUUUUAGGAUUUGUUUAGGAUUUGAUUAGAAUUCGGUUAAGAUUUAUUUAAGAUUUGACUAGGAUUUUUUUGAAUUUUGUUUAGGAUUUGUUUAAGAUUUGUUUAGAAUUGUUUUAGGAUUUGAUAAGGAUUUGAUUAAUAUUUGUUUAGGAUUUGAUUAGAAUUUGAUUAAAAUUUAUUAGGAUUUGAUUAGGAUUUAUUUAAGAUUUAUUUAAGAUUUGUUUAGAUUUUGAUUAAGAUUUAUUAGGAUUUGACUAGGAUUUAUUUAAGAUUUGGUUACGAUUUGAUUAGGAUUUAAUUAAGGUUUUUAUUUUAAUAUUUUAUUAAGAUUUCUAUUUUAGUAUAUUUUUUAAUUCUAUAUUAUUUCUUUAUGAUUUUUUUAAAGAUUCUUUAAGAAUACUUUCUAUUUCUCAUAUAAUUCUUUUGAAAUUUUGAUUGAAUUUGAUUUGAUGUUUGAUUAUAUUUGCUAAUCUUUAAU